GCAAGUCGAGCGAACAGACGAGGAGCUUGCUCCUCUGACGUUAGCGGCGGACGGGUGAGUAACACGUGGAUAACCUACCUAUAAGACUGGGAUAACUUCGGGAAACCGGAGCUAAUACCGGAUAAUAUAUUGAACCGCAUGGUUCAAUAGUGAAAGACGGUUUUGCUGUCACUUAUAGAUGGAUCCGCGCCGCAUUAGCUAGUUGGUAAGGUAACGGCUUACCAAGGCAACGAUGCGUAGCCGACCUGAGAGGGUGAUCGGCCACACUGGAACUGAGACACGGUCCAGACUCCUACGGGAGGCAGCAGUAGGGAAUCUUCCGCAAUGGGCGAAAGCCUGACGGAGCAACGCCGCGUGAGUGAUGAAGGUCUUCGGAUCGUAAAACUCUGUUAUUAGGGAAGAACAAAUGUGUAAGUAACUAUGCACGUCUUGACGGUACCUAAUCAGAAAGCCACGGCUAACUACGUGCCAGCAGCCGCGGUAAUACGUAGGUGGCAAGCGUUAUCCGGAAUUAUUGGGCGUAAAGCGCGCGUAGGCGGUUUUUUAAGUCUGAUGUGAAAGCCCACGGCUCAACCGUGGAGGGUCAUUGGAAACUGGAAAACUUGAGUGCAGAAGAGGAAAGUGGAAUUCCAUGUGUAGCGGUGAAAUGCGCAGAGAUAUGGAGGAACACCAGUGGCGAAGGCGACUUUCUGGUCUGUAACUGACGCUGAUGUGCGAAAGCGUGGGGAUCAAACAGGAU
rnacentral:rRNA from 1 species